AUGCCAUUUCUCAGUUGUUUACCAGUCUCUGUACAGCUGAAUGGUUUUGUCGCGGUCUCUGAGCGGCUGCAGGUUUUUGUACGAGCGCUCCAUGAGUUUGUAUCACUGUGGUGGACGUUCGGUGGAGGAACCAGACUGGACCUUAACUUGGGCCGAGUGGAGCCCAGCCUCUGGGUGCUGCCCCCCUCCAGAGAGGAGCUGGCCCAGGGGAAGGCCACCCUCGUGUGCCUGGCCAACAAGGGCUUCCCGUCAGACUGGAGCGUGUCCUGGAAGGUGUCCGGUGGCGGUGUGGGCGGGGAGCAGAGCCGGAGCCCCGCGGUGCUGCAAAAGGACGGCCACUACAGCUGGAGCAGCAGCCUGACGCUCCCCGCACAGCAGUGGAGGGAGGGGGGCGUGGCUGUGAGCUGUGAGGCCACACAGGGCUCCCAGAGUCCAGUGUCCCACACACUGAGCACACUGCAGUGUUCCCAGGACUGACACAGUCACUGGGAUCAGCCUGCAGAGCGCCCUCUGCUGUCAGCUCACGCCUCUACAGCUACACUUCACUUACUGCAGCACAGCACACAGCCCUCUGUCCCAACUGGAGCUUCUGCUGAAAAUAAAGAGCUGUGCAUCAAAAGCA